GUAGUUAGCCGGGGCUUCCUCCUUGGCUACCGUCAUUUGUUUCGUCACCAAGGACAGAGGUUUACAACCCGAAAGCCUUCUUCCCUCACGCGGCGUUGCUGGGUCAGGCUUGCGCCCAUUGCCCAAUAUUCCCCACUGCUGCCUCCCGUAGGAGUCUGGACCGUGUCUCAGUUCCAGUGUGGCCGAUCAGCCUCUCAGCUCGGCUACCCAUCGUCGACUUGGUGGGCCGUUACCCCGCCAACUAUCUAAUGGGACGCGAGCCCCUCCUUCAGCGAAUUGCUCCUUUGACCCCUCUACCAUGCGGUAGCGUGGUCUCAUGCGGUAUUAGCAGUAAUUUCUCACUGUUAUCCCCCUCUGAAGGACAGGUUGCUCACGCGUUACUCACCCGUUCGCCACUAACUCAAGGAGCAAGCUCCUCUCGUCCGUUCGACUUGCAUGUGUUAGGCACGCCGCCAGCGUUCGUCCUGAGCCAUGAUCAAACUCUGA
rnacentral:rRNA from 1 species